rnacentral:rRNA from 1 species
CAGUAGCCGCGGUAAUACGUAGGUGGCAAGCGUUGUCCGGAAUUAUUGGGCGUAAAGGGCUCGCAGGCGGUUUCUUAAGUCUGAUGUGAAAGCCCCCGGCUCAACCGGGGAGGGUCAUUGGAAACUGGGAAACUUGAGUGCAGAAGAGGAGAGUGGAAUUCCACGUGUAGCGGUGAAAUGCGUAGAGAUGUGGAGGAACACCAGUGGCGAAGGCGGCUUUUUGGCCUGUAACUGACACUGAGGCGCGAAAGCGUGGGGAGCAAACAGGAUUAGAUACCCGAGUAGUCCCUGUCUCUUAUAC